GUUCACAUUUUGUUUUCUUACCGCGCUGACUUUAUUUACAUGGACAGUCGGGGAGGCAGAAAGCCUGAGCUGAGCCGAGCGGCAGAUGGAAAAUUGAGGUUGAUAUGAGGUCGGUUGGUUGGUUGGUUGGUUGGUUGGCAGCGUCGAAUGCCGUUCGCCAAACUGCAGUAAAAACUCAAUGAUUUAACAAUGAAUGCAGCCAGCCAUCGCGAGACGCACCCAGUACAUCACUACAUCAGUACAUCAGUAUAUCAGCACAUCAGCACAUUGGAGCUUCGGAGCUUCGGGGCUUCAGAACAUCGCAGCGAGCAGCCGGUAAAAGCAAGCCAGCAAGCUAUACAAAUAUAUGCAAGUCAAAGAAUAAAAAAAUGAAAGCAAAACAUUGACAGACAACAUGAAGGACCGAAAGGAUGAUGCUGCCAGUCCAAAGUGCACUCAAAAAAUAAAAAACAAAUUAAAAGAAACAGAAAUGCUGAGUGCUUUUUUUUUCCAGUGCACUAGCAUUGCCUGGACCACAGUGUGCGUGUCGAAGGACGUCCCACUCUGGGCUGCAGCAGAAAUAUGAAUGCCUCACCGGUUCAAAAUGAAUUAAUAAUCAGUAAUUCUUGAACAAAAAAAUAGGGAAAAAAAGACAAAAACAGCACACAAAAAAAAAAAAAGAAAAAAUAGAAAACCGAGAGAAAUCUCUUGGCAAAGGUCGGUCGCUGUCUGCCUUUGGGCUGCCAUCGCCCACCAUUGUCCCCACCCCCCAUUUCCCAUUUCCCAUCGCCCUUCUCCCAUUUCCCAUUUUCCGGCGCUUUCCUUUUCCACCUGCAGUGACAAGUACAGCCGGACCUGGUAGCUUCGGUGGUUGACUGGUCUGUGACUGAUUGGCGCAGCUGAGCACCUGACUGAACCACCCUGCACCACCCUGCACCACCCACCCACGCGCAGCACCACCCAACGCCCUCCAAGUGGGCUGGGAACUGAAAAGGCCAUGGAUUUUAAUUACAAGAAAUUGUAUGCUUUUUUUUCGCUUCUGCAAGCUUUACAAAAGAUUUCGGGGGACAGCGCUGGACUAAAACAAAAGACUGCGUUAUGAUUUCUAUAUAAACACGAGAUAUAUUUAUAAAUAUAUAUACAUAUAUAUUAGUGUGUAUAUGCAUGGAAAAGGCAUCAGCAAAUCCAAAUUGCACCUUCUUCGAACAUCAAAUACAUAUUUUAUUAUCGUAGGCUUGGACAUAAAGUUUAAUGUCAUGAACGAAUUUAAAUAGGGGUUCAGUAUGUUGUAUGCACUCCUAUUUUAUUCUUUAAGUGUGUAAUAUUUUAUUAGUUCAACGUGCACAGUUAUCAUACUUUUAUAUUUUUAAAUGUGCUCAGUUGUCAUACUAUUUUAUUAGUUAAAUGUGCUUAGUUAUCAUAUUUUAUUAUUUAAAUGCGCUUAGUUAUCAUAUUUUAUUAUUCAAGUGUGCUUAGUUAUCAUAUUUUAUUAUUUAAAUGUGAUUAGUUAUCAUAUGUUAUUAUGUAAAUGUGCAUAGUUAUCACACCUGUUUAUCAGCACCAAUCUUUCUACACAUGAGACUCUGUAGUUAAUAAUAAUAAUUAGACGAAAGCUCUGCCUUCACACAAGGAAUGGGAUGCCACACGCUGUUGCUUCUUUCGCAAAACAAAUUGCAUUUUAUUGGCCAACAAAUUCGAAGAAAAAGGCCUAAAAGUGGGUGGUCCGCUAAAUAAGCGUGCAUAAAGCAACUAUUGUCACAUGAUUUGGCCCAGCUGAGGCAAUAUUUUUCAGCCUGCCACGCCCCGUCGGCUGAUGCACAAUGAAAAGGGUUCGACAUCGGCGCAGGAUGUGGGAUCCAGGAUCCAGGAUUCAGGAUUUGAGACGGAAUGAGAUGCCGCACAAAGGGACCAACACAAUGGCACGUCUGACAAACAAGGCGCAACAGAAAAAAAAAUGUGAGGAAACACGAAUGCAAGAAACCCAAACUGAAACCGAAACCGAAAGCGAAAAAGAAAAUGAACACCAACAGCAAUGCCAUAUCCUUUCGCAACAAAACACAAAAAAAACUGAGCCAGAAUGAUAUAUGAAGAAGGAUACUGAAAUUGUUGAACGUCUAAACGAUGGCAAAGGAUGCUGAAGUUGAAAAGAAUGAAAAGGAUCUGCUGGGUUUUUAAAUAAAACAAUGAUCAUUGGCAUUUGUUCACUUUAAAGUAUUUAAUCGAAUUUAUUGUCUUUCAAAUAAUACUUUUAAUAAUUAAAAAUUAAUUGGUAAUACCUAAGAAUAUAUGUGCAACAAGCUACUAUAGCCUUAAAUAAUCCCCUUUUGCGUGGAGUUAAUUUGGUUCUAUUCAUUCCAUCUCAACGUCCACACGGCAUUACAUUAGCCAUCAUUCUUUGGAGCUCCUUUGCCUCAACAGGAGCGCAACAAAUUAAAUGUCAAACGACAAGGGGUCCGGGAUAAAUAAAAAAAAUAAAUAACGAAAAAUUCUCACUUCGGCUGCUGUCGUCUUUUCUUCGCCUUGUAUUAAAAAACAAUUUGCUAGCAAGGACAAAACACAAAAAAAAAACCGUAUAACACAUGAGAAAACUUGCGGCACGCGUUGCAAAAAAAAAUCAGAAAUAAAAAAAAGGCAAGGAAAAAAGGACACGAGGGACACGUGAAUUGGCCACAAAAGAUGCUAAUGAUUUAUUUAAUCGAUUUGACCGUGAACAUAUGUCCUUUUUUGGUACAGGGCGUGUGAAAAAUGAACAGAAUUUCCGGGGGUCAAAUGGUGGGUCACAUCCUCUUCAAUUUUAUUUCCCCAUU